rnacentral:lncRNA from 1 species
CAAAAGACAUCAUCACUUGGUUCCAAACACUCACAAGGUGCACACACACAAAUGAUACUUACACGCACAUACAUCACACAACCUAAACAUGCAUCCACUACUUGCUAGCAAAUAAUAAUAGCAACAACCUAAUGUAGAGAGGAAAUUAAAACAGAACACAAGGUGGCCUAGCAAGCUGCAUCUACAAGCUAGAAAGCAC